rnacentral:rRNA from 1 species
UACGGAGGGUGCAAACGUUGCUCGGAAUCAUUGGGCGUAAAGCGCACGUAGGCGGCCUGUUAAGUCGGGUGUGAAAUCCCUGGGCUCAACCCAGGAAGUGCACUCGAAACUGGCGGGCUUGAGUACUGAAGAGGGGUCGCGGAAUUCCCGGUGUAGAGGUGAAAUUCGUAGAUAUCGGGAGGAACACCAGUGGCGAAGGCGGCGACCUGGGCAGAUACUGACGCUGAGGUGCGAAAGCGUGGGGAG